CGGCUGUGGCGGAGAGGAUUGUGGAGCUCAUUGAGGAGCUUCCUCCUAACUCUCCACCCGGCGCCAUCCUGGCCAACUCCCUCAUUGCUGUGGCCAACCUCAGCACCAUGACACCUGCCCUGGAGCCGGAGCUGGAGACCCACCUCCUCCAAGCCACCCUGCACGCAGUCUUCACCCUGGGCACGCAGACGGACACCAAUCAAGUCCA